UACGUAGGGGGCAAGCGUUGUCCGGAGUUACUGGGCGUAAAGCGCACGCAGGCGGUCUCUUAAGUUUGGAGUGACAGUUGGUGGCUUAACUGCCAAAGUGCUUCGAAAACUGGGAGACUUGAGGGCUUCAGAGGGACACGGAAUUCCGGGUGGAGUGGUGAAAUGCGUAGAGAUCCGGAGGAACACCAAAGGCGAAGGCAGUGUCCUGGGGAGUACCUGACGCUCAGGUGCGAAAGCCAGGGGAGCGAACGGG
rnacentral:rRNA from 1 species